rnacentral:rRNA from 1 species
AUACAUGCAGUCGAGCGGAUCUUCAUUAGCUUGCUUUUGAAGAUCAGCGGCGGACGGGUGAGUAACACGUGGGCAACCUGCCUGUAAGACUGGGAUAACUUCGGGAAACCGGAGCUAAUACCGGAUAAUCCUUUCCCUCACAUGAGGGAAAGCUGAAAGACGGCUUCUCGCUGUCACUUACAGAUGGGCCCGCGGCGCAUUAGCUAGUUGGUGAGGUAACGGCUCACCAAGGCAACGAUGCGUAGCCGACCUGAGAGGGUGAUCGGCCACACUGGGACUGAGACACGGCCCAGACUCCUACGGGAGGCAGCAGUAGGGAAUCUUCCGCAAUGGACGAAAGUCUGACGGAGCAACGCCGCGUGAACGAUGAAGGCUUUCGGGUCGUAAAGUUCUGUUGUCAGGGAAGAACAAGUACCGGAGUAACUGCCGGUACCUUGACGGUACCUGACCAGAAAGCCACGGCUAACUACGUGCCAGCAGCCGCGGUGAUACGGUAGGUGGCAAGCGUUGUCCGGAAUUAUUGGGCGUAAAGCGCGCGCAGGCGGUUCCUUAAGUCUGAUGUGAAAGCCCCCGGCUCAACCGGGGAGGGUCAUUGGAAAACUGGGGAACUUGAGUGCAGAAGAGGAGAGC